rnacentral:rRNA from 1 species
GGUCAAGCGAACAAGUGCAUGUGGUGGAUGCCUUGGCGAUCACAGGCGAUGAAGGACGCGGUAGUCUGCGAAAAGCCCCGGGGAGCUGGCAAACAAGCUUUGAUCCGGGGAUGUCCGAAUGGGGAAACCCACUCCGUAUGGAGUAUCCAUGACUGAAUACAUAGGUCAUGUGAAGCGAACGCGGUGAACUGAAACAUCUAAGUAACCGCAGGAAAAGAAAUCAACCGAGAUUCCCAAAGUAGUGGCGAGCGAAAUGGGAUGAGCCUUGUACUCUUUAUUCGUAUUGUUAGCCGAACGCUCUGGAAAGUGCGGCCAUAGCAGGUGAUAGCCCUGUAGGCGAAAACAGUAUGAAAGAACUAGGUGUACGACAAGUAGGGCGGGACACGUGAAAUCCUGUCUGAAGAUGGGGGGACCAUCCUCCAAGGCUAAAUACUCGUGAUCGACCGAUAGUGAACCAGUACCGUGAGGGAAAGGCGAAAAGAACCCCGGGAGGGGAGUGAAAUAGAUCCUGAAACCGCAUGCAUACAAACAGUCGGAGCCUCGUAAGGGGUGACGGCGUACCUUUUGUAUAAUGGGUCAGCGACUUACGUUCAGUAGCAAGCUUAACCGUAUAGGGCAGGCGUAGCGAAAGCGAGUCCGAAUAGGGCGUUCAGUUGCUGGGCGUAGACCCGAAACCAGGUGAUCUAUCCAUGGCCAGGAUGAAGGUGCGGUAACACGUACUGGAGGUCCGAACCCACUAACGUUGAAAAGUUAGGGGAUGAGCUGUGGAUAGGGGUGAAAGGCUAAACAAACCUGGAAAUAGCUGGUUCUCUCCGAAAACUAUUUAGGUAGUGCCUCGUGUCUCACCUUCGGGGGUAGAGCACUGUCAUGGUUGGGGGGUCUAUUGCAGAUUACCCCGCCAUAGCAAACUCCGAAUACCGAAGAGUGCAAUCACGGGAGACAGACAUCGGGUGCUAACGUCCGGUGUCAAGAGGGAAACAACCCAGACCGCCAGCUAAGGUCCCCAAAUAUGGCUAAGUGGGAAACGAAGUGGGAAGGCUAAAACAGUCAGGAGGUUGGCUUAGAAGCAGCCACCCUUUAAAGAAAGCGUAAUAGCUCACUGAUCGAGUCGUCCUGCGCGGAAGAUGUAACGGGGCUAAGCCAUAUACCGAAGCUGCGGAUGCGUGCUUGCACGCAUGGUAGGAGAGCGUUCCGUAAGCCUGCGAAGGUGCCUUGUAAAGGGUGCUGGAGGUAUCGGAAGUGCGAAUGCUGACAUGAGUAGCGAUAAAGGGGGUGAAAGGCCCCCUCGCCGUAAGCCCAAGGUUUCCUACGCAACGUUCAUCGGCGUAGGGUGAGUCGGCCCCUAAGGCGAGGCAGAAAUGCGUAGCUGAUGGGAAGCAGGUCAAUAUUCCUGCACCAUUGUUAGAUGCGAUGGGGGGACGGAUCGCGGAAGGUUGUCCGGGUGUUGGACGUCCCGGUCGCUGCAUUGGAGAAGGCGCUUAGGCAAAUCCGGGCGCAGGAUUCAAGGGUGUGGCGCGAGCUCCUUAGGGAGCGAAGCAAUUGGAAGUGGUUCCAAGAAAAGCCUCUAAGCUUCAGUCUAACGAUGACCGUACCGCAAACCGACACAGGUGGGCGAGAUGAGUAUUCUAAGGCGCUUGAGAGAACUCGGGAGAAGGAACUCGGCAAAUUGGUACCGUAACUUCGGGAUAAGGUACGCCCUUGUAGCUUGACCAGCCUGCGCUGGAAGGGUGAAGGGGUUGCAAUAAACUGGUGGCUGCGACUGUUUAAUAAAAACACAGCACUCUGCAAACACGAAAGUGGACGUAUAGGGUGUGACGCCUGCCCGGUGCCGGAAGAUUAAAUGAUGGGGUGCAAGCUCUUGAUUGAAGUCCCGGUAAACGGCGGCCGUAACUAUAACGGUCCUAAGGUAGCGAAAUUCCUUGUCGGGUAAGUUCCGACCUGCACGAAUGGCGUAACGAUGGCCACACUGUCUCCUCCCGAGACUCAGCGAAGUUGAAGUGUUUGUGAUGAUGCAAUCUACCCGCGGCUAGACGGAAAGACCCCAUGAACCUUUACUGUAGCUUUGCAUUGGACUUUGAACCGAUCUGUGUAGGAUAGGUGGGAGGCUAUGAAACCGGAACGCUAGUUUCGGUGGAGCCGUCCUUGAAAUACCACCCUGGUUUGUUUGAGGUUCUAACCUUGGUCCGUGAUCCGGAUCGGGGACAGUGCAUGGUAGGCAGUUUGACUGGGGCGGUCUCCUCCCAAAGGGUAACGGAGGAGUACGAAGGUACGCUAGGUACGGUCGGAAAUCGUGCUGAUAGUGCAAUGGCAUAAGCGUGCUUAACUGCGAGACCGACAAGUCGAGCAGGUGCGAAAGCAGGUCAUAGUGAUCCGGUGGUUCUGUAUGGAAGGGCCAUCGCUCAACGGAUAAAAGGUACUCUGGGGAUAACAGGCUGAUACCGCCCAAGAGUUCAUAUCGACGGCGGUGUUUGGCACCUCGAUGUCGGCUCAUCUCAUCCUGGGGCUGUAGCCGGUCCCAAGGGUAUGGCUGUUCGCCAUUUAAAGAGGUACGUGAGCUGGGUUUAAAACGUCGUGAGACAGUUUGGUCCCUAUCUGCCGUGGGCGUUGGAUAUUUGAAGGGGGCUGCUCCUAGUACGAGAGGACCGGAGUGGACGAACCUCUGGUGUACCGGUUGUGACGCCAGUCGCAUCGCCGGGUAGCUAUGUUCGGAAGAGAUAACCGCUGAAAGCAUCUAAGCGGGAAACUCGCCUUAAGAUGAGAUAUCCCUGGAGGCUUGACCUCCUUGAAGGGUCGUUCGAGACCAGGACGUUGAUAGGUCGGGUGUGUAAGCGCAGUAAUGCGUUCAGCUAACCGAUACUAAUUGCCCGUAAGGCUUGAUCCU